AACAGGAUUAGAUACCCUGGUAGUCCACGCCGUAAACGAUGUCGACUUGGAGGUUGUGCCCUUGAGGCGUGGCUUCCGGAGCUAACGCGUUAAGUCGACCGCCUGGGGAGUACGGCCGCAAGGUUAAAACUCAAAUGAAUUGACGGGGGCCCGCACAAGCGGUGGAGCAUGUGGUUUAAUUCGAUGCAACGCGAAGAACCUUACCUACUCUUGACAUCCAGAGAACUUAGCAGAGAUGCUUUGGUGCCUUCGGGAACUCUGAGACAGGUGCUGCAUGGCUGUCGUCAGCUCGUGUUGUGAAAUGUUGGGUUAAGUCCCGCAACGAGCGCAACCCUUAUCCUUUGUUGCCAGCGGUUCGGCCGGGAACUCAAAGGAGACUGCCAGUGAUAAACUGGAGGAAGGUGGGGAUGACGUCAAGUCAUCAUGGCCCUUACGAGUAGGGCUACACACGUGCUACAAUGGCAUAUACAAAGAGAAGCGACCUCGCGAGAGCAAGCGGACCUCAUAAAGUAUGUCGUAGUCCGGAUUGGAGUCUGCAACUCGACUCCAUGAAGUCGGAAUCGCUAGUAAUCGUGGAUCAGAAUGCCACGGUGAAUACGUUCCCGGGCCUUGUACACACCGCCCGCCACACCAUGGGAGUGGGUUGCAAAAGAGGUAGGUAGCUUAACCUUCGGGAGGGCGCUUACCACUUUGUGAUUCAUGACUGGGGUGAAGUCGUAACAAGGUAACC
rnacentral:rRNA from 1 species